CAACGAGCUCAUAUGGCUGAGGCUAAGAAGAUUGCAUCCCAGUAUCCAAAGGAAGCAGACAAGUGCAAUUCAGGGAUGGAAACAUGUGAAGAAGCAAGGGAGAAAGCUGAAGCAACAUUAGAGGCACAGCGGAAACAGACUGCACGUGCUGCCUCUUCCGUUCUGAUUUGAAGAAGAUUUCUCAAGCGGCUAUAAUUUCAUGGCAGGUGCAUGAUCCUGCUGAGAAUGAGAAGCUCUGCGUUUUUUUAAUUGAGAAGGCGUUGGGUGCCUUCCAGAAGGGAGCGGAGAAAUACUAGGAAUCUUCAAUCUACAUUGGGUCCAGCAAAGAUAUUGAGGCUGCCGGUUUGUACUUACUCGAAUCAGAGUCUCUAAGGAGGAGAAAGAGAAGGAUCCGAAUGGAAAGCAAGGCACAACAUCGAACAAGCAAUCUUCCAUUUUGACAUUUAUUUAAACUUAACACGACUUCAAUAGAAAACUAAACUUUAAUUAGAGAAAGUGGAAGAGGAAGCAUAGGAGUUUGUCACUACUCCAAUGAUUUAUCGGUAAAAUCCUCAAACCCAAUUCUCAAUUUUCAGUUUAUUUAUUUAUUUUUUCCAGAUCAGUUAAUUCUUUUUCACAUCAAUUAAUUCCAGUAAUGUUAGGGGUUGAAUUUUUUAGGUUAGUGAUUUUCGCACAUAAAUUUUCUUUCUAAUCAUUUUGGGUGAAAUAAAUAGAUAUGGGUCUUCAAUAAGUUAUUUUUAUAGUAUUAUAGUUUUAUUUCACAAUUAAAUGAUAUCUUGUUGUUUUUUGGUAGGUUUUUCUGUGAGUUUAUUUGCAUUGCAUAUUUUGUUUACAAAUGUUCGGUGUAAUGUGGUGGUAAUAUAUGCUAUGAUUACCACCAUAGUCCAACUGAGGGCUUAUUAAUUUGGUAAAUUAUUUCAAAUUUAGUCUCUGCAAACCUCAGGAAGGCUAAUAUUAAAGGGAUGUGCUAUUCACACAUCCCUUUUUACUUCUCACACACCUCUUGUUAAUUUAUGUCCAUUGAUCUUCUUUAAUUCAUCCGAUCUGACGGUCGAAAACUAAAAAGGUGUGGGAGAAGUGAAAAAUCAUGUGUGGAUUCACAUCCCAUAUUAAAUUGUGGAAGUUGGACUAUGGCUUAGUUGGUUCUAUUUCUGAAUUUCCUCUUCAUUAAAAUGUUUAUUUACCUACUUUUAAGCGUUUUAUUUAUGUAUCUAUUUUUUAAAAUGAAUUUUAAAGAUGUUAUAGAAAUUGGAAAGAGCAGCAGUUUGAGAACAUAGUAUGGGAACUUUGGGAAGGAAUACUCGAAAGGAAGACCGACAAUGUGUUAGCAGUAACUCUUUUUUUUAAAUCAUAUUCUAUUCCGUAAUAUUUCACUUUAGCGUUUGGAAUAGCAACAUUUAUUUGGUGUCAUCUAGAAAGUUUGUUGAUGUAUCAUGUCAUAUGUUUUUUUUAAGUUGGAGAUUUUGUAGGUAGCCAAUUCGAGGAAAUGGCCCUCACUUUCUAAUUACCGAGCUAAAGUUCAUGCUCAAUAACCAAAGUAGAAAUGAUUGCUUCUUUGUUCAAGCCUGUGUUGAAUAAAAAUGAAGUUAUAAUUAGGAUAGCUUCUCUCACCACUUACAUUUACUUUGCCACAUUGAUAUUUUUGUAUUCUAUUAUCUAAUUAUAAAAAAUUUACUU